GCGGGUUUGGUAUAGAGGUUGAGCACGGACUUUUAAUCCGCAGGUCGUAGGUUCGAGCCCUACUGGGGGCA
rnacentral:tRNA from 1 species